GACGAACGCUGGCGGCGUGCCUAAUACAUGCAAGUAGAACGCACAGUUUAUACCGUAGCUUGCUACACCAUAAACUGUGAGUUGCGAACGGGUGAGUAACGCGUAGGUAACCUGCCUGGUAGCGGGGGGUAACUAUUGGAAACGAUAGCUAAUACCGCAUAAUAUUGAUUAUUGCAUGAUAAUUGAUUGAAAGAUGCUAUUGCAUCACUACCAGAUGGACCUGCGUUGUAUUAGCUAGUAGGUGAGGUAACGGCUCACCUAGGCGACGAUACAGAGCCGACCUGAGAGGGUGAUCGGCCACACUGGGACUGAGACACGGCCCAGACUCCUACGGGAGGCAGCAGGAGGGAAUCUUCGGCAAUGGACGAAAGUCUGACCGAGCAACGCCGCGUGAGUGAAGAAGGUUUUCGGAUCGGAAAGCUCUGUUGUAAGAGAAGAACGGGUGUGAGAGUGGAAAGUUCACACUGUGACGGUAUCUUACCAGAAAGGGACGGCUAACUACGUG
rnacentral:rRNA from 1 species